GGGUGUUCUAAUCCUGACAACACUUCACAAAAUGUUCUGGGCUGCCGUCAUUACCCUGUUCAUAAUAACCUGGACAUGUAACAUUGUCCAGGCUGAUCUGACUCAGGAUUCAUCCUUGACCGCGUCUGUGGGACAGAAAGUUGAGCUCAUCUGUCGAGGCAGCAGCAUCACUAAUAGCUGGACUCUAAACUGGUACCAGCAAAAACCUGGCAGCACUCCAAGACUCCUUACGUAUGACAGUAGCAGAUACACAGGAGUCCCAGAAAGGUUCUCUGGUUCCAAAGACAGCUCAGCAAAAACUGGUAAACUAACCAUCUCUGGUGUCCAGGCCGAGGAUGAUGCUGAUUAUUACUGUAAUACAUGGGACAGCAGCCUAAGCUCACACACAGUGAUACAUUCAUAA